AUCGGAGCGCGGCCGGGAACGCCCGCCCUCGGCGCGGCGGGAGGGGCGAGUGGCGGGCGCGCCUCCGGGGCGGCAAUGAAGACAGCGGGGCGGGCGGGGCGAGCUCGGCCGCGGCUCCUGCCCGGUGCUGGCAUUUGGUGUUGCCGGUGCCGGCGUGGUGGUAGGUUAUUCUUGUUUCACAUGUAUCUCAACAUAGUAAGAUGCAUUAUUCUGCCCAUUCCUCAAAUGGAACUUCACAUUUCUUUAAGAUUUUGUAAUCUGGAAUGCUGACGUAAGUGGUAAGGAGAGGUCAUCUCCCACGUGGACAUAUAUUAUAAUAUAAUUAUAAUGGCUAUUAUCUGUUAACAUUUCUGUCUGUAUAGAAGACAUGUGAUGUAAAUGAAGAUCUAAAUAAAUUAUGGUCAAGUGGUUUUAGUGCCCUUUUACAUGUCAUUUAAACGCCUGGAACUGAUGAUAAGAGGAGUCUCAGUAUUUUUCCUGUGCUUUACCAUAUGUUUAUGUUGUGUUUGAAGAUUACUUUUUAAAAAAUGGUGCAAGAUAGCAGGCCUGUGUCUACUGACAGGCAAGCUCAUGUUAAAGCCAUUUGCAAAACAGGUAUGCAAGAAGUUUAGAGGAACAGUAUAUUUCUUGUCUAUUUGAUCCAAAGUCUUCUUGAUUGUUUUUUCAAAUAACUCUUACUACCUGUGUGUUUCUCUGAAAUUGUUUACAUCUGGCUCUCAAGAGGCUUUUCUUUGAGUAGCAUGAUUGCUUUUACUUUCCCCUCUUGUUGUCCUUGACACAAGUGAAAAACUACACAUGGAAACUAAAGCAUCAUUGUCAUUAAGGCCUGUCUCAAGGAAAAUGCAACUCUGAACACAUGACUCUUUGAUCUCUACGCAAUAAAACCCCACAGUCAUGUUAUGACCAGAAGUGGGAAAUAUAACCCACUUCCAAAGAGUAGUUUCUUAUAUGUUUACUUACGGUUAAGAGUAAAGUAAUUCACAUUAAAUAGGUCUUGUUAGAUAAGUUAAUUUUUUGUCUUACCACACAUUACGGUUUUUUUGUGCCUGUCACCUUCAUUAGUAGGUGUUGACAAACAGUGAAGUAGCACAUUCUCUAGGAGAAAACAUUGCUUAGGUCAGGCCUCUUUAAAAAAGACUAUUGCCAAAAUAUUGUCUGAAAACACUGCUGUCAUUUGAAGACAUACGCUGAUGACUUAAAAAAAAAAAAGAGUAGCAAAUAUUAAUGAAACAAGAGGAAUGCAUCUGAAUGCAUCUUUUCUAAAUAGGUAGAAUGUCCAACAUUUAUGCCCAAAUGAAAUCGGUAGUAAAAUUCCUACUUCAAGGGGUCAGAAUUUCACUCCAGGAUGUGCAAAGAGUAUUUGAAUAAGACAUAAUUCAUUGUAGCAAAAUAGAGAAGAGCUAAAUGCAGACAAAUGCAUUUGAAUUUGUUUCUUAAAAGGUAUUUCACAGGUGAUAUCUUAACUGAUUUUGUUUUUAUAAGUUAUUCAAACACACUUUACAUAAUACACAGAAACGUAAAGGAAAACUUCCUUACAUUUUCUCAUUUGCUUAUAAUCUCUGUGGAAAAUUACUGUCCUUUAAGGUGUUUAGAGUCACAGCUUUUAAUCUUUUAAUUUGGGAUGUGUUCUGUAGGAUUCGCUAAGAAUUCAAGUGUUUUUCAAACAUAUAUUUCCUAAUUGUACUUGUGGUUCUUCUGGCUUACAGUUCAAAGAAUUGCACUCAGGCUACUGUAAACCUGAUAUUUUUUCCCUACAAAUUACAGGCUGUUCUGAAGUUGAUGCCUAUAUGAAUGAAUAUGAAAUUUCAGCUUUGUUUUUUCCAAAACAUUGCAUAACUUUAAAAAUGUAAAUCACAUCUUAAAGUACACAGUAAUAUAUAAUAUUAGCUAAGUUAUUUGCUUAGUGGUGGCUUGGCAAAAAAUACGAGUAUUAUUUUGAAUAGGUUUUAAAGUGUUCCUGUGAAUGCUGUUUUUUUAAUGUGUUAUAAUUCAUUUAUUUGCUUCUUACUGUUUUCCCAAAGAUUUUUGAAGGUGCUUUAGAUCCUGCUGCAGAAAGCAAAAUACAGAAAGUAUGUGAACAUGUGGGUAAGACGCCCCCAAGCCUCUCUUCUCCAGGCUGAGUGGUCUCAGCUCUUUGAGGCUUUCCUCAUAUGGAAGAUAUUCCCAUACCCUAGUCAUCUUCACUGUCCAAUCAGCUAGUCCUUCCAGUUGUGUACUGUGUACCUGCUGAAAGAUGUACUCAUAGUGAUUGGUGAAGAUGUUUAACAGUGCUGGUCUCAACACUGACCCCUUGGAUAUACCACUGAUGACUUGCCUCUAAACCGGUGAUCGCAACACCCUGGGCCUGGCAGGUAGGCUGUUUUAAUCCACCUCAUUGUAUGCUUAUUUAACCUGUGUUUUGCCAGCUGUUCUGUGAGUCUGUUAGGGGAGCCAGUGUCACAAGUCUUACUGAAGUUGAGGUAAACAAUUUCCACUGUUCCCCCAUCAUCCAUCAGAACAGUUACAUCAUUCACAUUGUGGAAAGUUAUCAGGUUAGUCAAGCAUGGCUUCCUCUUUGUAAAUCCAUGUUGACUAUUCCUGACUAUCAUGUUGUGCUUUAGCUGUUUGGAAAAAUGGCUUCUAGGAUUAGUUGCUCCUUUAUCUUCCCAGAGAUUGUGGUGAAGCUGCUCUGCCUGUAGUACCCUUGAUGUUUCACUUGGCCAUUCUUGAAGACAGAAGUAACAUUUUCUUUCCUCCACUCUUCAGGAAUCUUUCCCAGUUGCCAUGACAUUUCAGAGGUAAUAAAGAGUGGACUUGCAGUGGCAUCAUGCAGCUUCCUCAGCACUUAUGGGGCCAACCUCUAAUGCUUCAUGAGCUUAUAUAUGAACAGUUUCUUUAAGCUCUCUUUAAUCUACUUUUUCUUUCGUGGAGAGCCAGACAUGUUCCAAACUUUCCUCUGUUUUCUGGGGCUUGGGAUUCCUCAACGACAGAAAACACGGAGGCAAAGAAAGUAUUGAAUAUCUCAGACUUUUCCAUGUUCUUUGUUAUCAGCACCUCUACCCUAUCCAGGAAGAGUUUACAUUUUCCCUAGCUGUCCUUUUAUUCCUUUUGCUAUUUGCUACAACUACACAUAGAACUCUCUUUUGUUCCCCUUCAUGUGCAGAAAUGUUGCUAGAUUCAACUCCAGGCUGGCCCUGGCUUUCCUGGUGCUAUCACAACAGCUCUGUACUCCUCCUGCAUAAUGUGUCCCAGCUUUCACUGCUGUGCGUGUUUCCUUUUGAGUUCAGUUAGGAACAACAUAGUCGUUCCAGCCUCCAGCUGUCUUUCAUUUCCUACUUGUUGUGAUGGAGCUUUUUGAUCUUGUAGGAGGUGAUUCUUGAAUAUCAACCAUAUCUCCCCUCCUCUCCCUUCCCCUCCCCUCCCAAGCUGAAGAAGUUUCCCUGCCUCUUGCAGAUUUCUCUGCCGUUUGAAAGAGAUCAAAAUAAGGGUGGGGAGGGAAUUUGGUAAAAACAACAAAACCAACCAAAUAAAACCCAACCCACAAUCAAAAACCCCUCAAAAAUAAACAAAUAAACAAAAUCCAAAACAGAAAGAACCUCUCCAAAACAACAGCAACAAAUAAGCCUAAAACAGCAUCAAAAGCAACAACAACAACAAAAACAACUCAGAAGAAAAACAAACCCCUCCAGAUCCUCAAACUGGGUGGACGCAGCUGCCUGCAUCCACCCAGUUGCCUGCAUCAGUGUGCGGACUCUUUCAGCUGUGCUUGGAGAGAUGCAUACAGGUAAUAUCUGUCACUCACAAAAGCUUUAUUGAGUUGAAAUUUGCAAUGUUUAUAUAUGAACUUUGUAUGAUGUGCCAGCCAUGCUCUUGCCUGUGUUAUUUUAAUAAAUUGAAGCAAACCAGUUUGAUAAGCUUUUAUUGAUGCCACAGCUCUAUCAACACUGUGCCUGUGGCACAAGCCUUUCUCAUCCUCCAGCUCAGGGGUUCAUCUGUGCCCCAAAACUGGUCUUGAUCCUCAUGGUAAGAGGAUUUGUGAACCCUGAAAUCUCCUACAAAGCUGUAACUAUGAGGAUGGGGCUAUUUCACCCCAAAUAUUGGCAGCAAGUGUCUUGUGGGAUGGGCAUUUUGGGGUCCA